rnacentral:sRNA from 1 species
UCAGUUCCUGUAACUUCCAUUGCCCAAUCAAUUUCUUUCUUAUCCUCAGCAGUUAAUCUACCAAAUCCUUUUUGAU